rnacentral:rRNA from 1 species
AGCAUGUGAGUGUGAGCGAAUCUCAAAAAUAAACGUCUCAGUUCGGAUUGUAGUCUGCAACUCGACUACAUGAAGCUGGAAUCGCUAGUAAUCGCGGAUCAGAAUGCCGCGGUGAAUACGUUCCCGGGUCUUGUACACACCGCCCGUCACACCAUGGGAGUCAGUAACGCCCGAAGCCGGUGACCCAACCAGACUUGGAGGGAGCCGUCGAAGGCGGGACGGAUGACUGGGGUGAAGUCGUAACAAGGUACC